rnacentral:rRNA from 1 species
GCUUACGGCCAUACCAGUCUGAAAGUGCCUGAUCUCGUCAGAUCUCCGAAGUCAUGCAGAUUUGGGCCUGAUUAGUACUUGUAUGGGAGACCAUCUAGGAACCUCAGGUGCCGUAAGCU